AAUAUUGGACAAUGGGCGCAAGCCUGAUCCAGCCAUGCCGCGUGGGUGAUGAAGGCCCUAGGGUUGUAAAGCCCUUUCGGCGGGGAAGAUAAUGACGGUACUGUUUGUAAGCUCCGGCUAACUCCGUGCCAGCAGCCGCGGUAAUACGGGGGGGGCAAGCGUUGUUCGGAUUUACUGGGCGUAAAGGGCGCGUAGGCGGCCACCGCAAGUCGACUGUGAAAUCUCCGGGCUUAACCCGGAAAGGUCAGCCGAUACUGCGGGGCUAGAGUGCAGAAGGGGCAACUGGAAUUCUCGGUGUAGCGGUGAAAUGCGUAGAUAUCGAGAGGAACACCUGCGGCGAAGGCGGGUUGCUGGGCUGACACUGACGCUGAUGCGCGAAAGCUAGGGGAGCGAAC
rnacentral:rRNA from 1 species